rnacentral:rRNA from 1 species
GUCUAUGGCCACGCUACCCUGAACAAGCCUGAUCCCGUCUGAUCUCAGAAGCUAAGCAGGGUCGGGCCUGGUUAGUACUUGGAUGGGAGACCACCUAGGAAGACCAGGUGCUAUAGGCG